UGGACAGAUUAUUGUAUUCGACUAUAUUCACGGCGUGAAACAGGGGAUUACAAUUAUUUUUAAACGGAAAGUGAACUAAUUAACAUAAUAGACUCCU
rnacentral:pre_miRNA from 1 species